UACAGAGGGUGCAAACGUUGCUCGGAAUCAUUGGGCGUAAAGGGUGCGUAGGCGGGGCUUUAAGUCAGGGGUGAAAUCCUGGAGCUCAACUCCAGAACUGCCUUUGAUACUGAAGAUCUUGAGUUCGGGAGAGGUGAGUGGAACUGCGAGUGUAGAGGUGAAAUUCGUAGAUAUUUGCAAGAACACCAGUGGCGAAGGCGGCUCACUGGCCCGAUACUGACGCUGAGGCACGAAAGCGUGGGGAGCAAACAGG
rnacentral:rRNA from 1 species